GAGUUUGAUCGUGGCUCAGAUUGAACGCUGGCGGCAGGCCUAACACAUGCAAGUCGAGCGGAUGAAGGGAGCUUGCUCCUGGAUUCAGCGGUGGACGGGUGAGUAAUGCCUAGGAAUCUGCCUGGGUAGUGGGGAGUAACGUCCGGAAACGGGACGGCUAAUACCGCAUACGUCCUGAGGGAGGAAAGUGGGGAGUCUUCGGACCUCACGCUAUCAGAUGAGCCUAGGUCGGAUUAGCUAGUUGGUGGGGUAAAGGACCUACCAAGGCGACGAUCCGUAACUGGUCUGAGAGGAUGAUCAGUCACACUGGAACUGAGACACGGUCCAGACUCCUACGGGAGGCAGCAGUGGGGAAUAUUGGACAAUGGGCGGAAAGCCUGAUCCAGCCAUGCCGCGUGUGUGAAGAAGGUCUUCGGAUUGUAAAGCACUUUAAGUUGGGAGGAAGGGCAGUAAGUUAAUACCUUGCUGUUUUGACGUUACCAACAGAAUAAGCACCGGCUAACUUCGUGCCAG
rnacentral:rRNA from 1 species